CGGGGUGCACCAGGCGCGAAAACUUUACAAUGCGGGAAACCGUGAUAAGGGGACACCGAGUGCCAGCAUCAUAUGCUGGCUGUCCAGGUGCGUAAAAUACACCUGUUAGCAAGGGCCGGGCAAGACCGGUGCCAGCCGCCGCGGUAACACCGGCGGCCCGAGUGGUGAUCGUGAUUAUUGGGUCUAAAGGGUCCGUAGCCGGUUUGGUCAGUCCUCCGGGAAAUCUGACGGCUCAACCGUUAGGCUUUCGGGGGAUACUGCCAGGCUUGGAACCGGGAGAGGUAAGAGGUACUACAGGGGUAGGAGUGAAAUCUUGUAAUCCCUGUGAGACCACCUGUGGCGAAGGCGUCUUACCAGAACGGGUUCGACGGUGAGGGACGAAAGCUGGGGGCACGAACCGGAUUAGAUACCCGGGUAGCCCCAGCCGUAAACGAUGCUCGCUAGGUGUCAGGCAUGGCGCGACCGUGUCUGGUGCCGCAGGGAAGCCGUGAAGCGAGCCACCUGGGAAGUACGGCCGCAAGGCUGAAACUUAAAGGAAUUGG
rnacentral:rRNA from 1 species